AACAAACGCUGGCGGCGUGUCUUAAGCAUGCAAGUUGAGCGGCAAGGAGGAGAGAUCCUCCCUAGAGCGGCGGACUGGUGAGUAACGCGUGGGUAAUCUAUCGUAGGCAUGGGGAUAGUCACUAGAAAUAGUGGGUAAUACCGAAUACGUUCCAUGAGGGGAGUACUUAUGGAAGAAAGGGUGCUAUGGCACUGGCCUUAGGUGAGCUCGCGUCCCAUUAGCUAGUUGGUGAGGUAAAGGCCCACCAAGGCGAUGAUGGGUAGCCGGCCUGAGAGGGUGUACGGCCACACUGGGACUGAGAUACGGCCCAGACUCCUACGGGAGGCAGCAGCUAAGAAUAUUCCGCAAUGGACGAAAGUCUGACGGAGCGACGCCGCGUGGAUGAAGAAGGCCGAAAGGUUGUAAAGUUCUUUUGCUAGGGGAGAAUAAGUGAGGAGGGAAUGCCCUCAUGAUGACAAGGACUAGCGAAUAAGCCCCGGCCAACUACGUGCCAGCACG
rnacentral:rRNA from 1 species